UGGGGAAUAUUGCACAAUGGGGGAAACCCUGAUGCAGCGACGCCGCGUGAAGGACGAAGUAUUUCGGUACGUAAACUUCUAUCAGCAGGGAAGAAAAUGACGGUACCUGACCAAGAAGCCCCGGCUAACUACGUGCCAGCAGCCGCGGUAAUACGUAGGGGGCAAGCGUUAUCCGGAUUUACUGGGUGUAAAGGGAGCGUAGACGGCCGUGCAAGUCUGAUGUGAAAACCCGGGGCUCAACCCCGGGACUGCAUUGGAAACUGCAUGGCUGGAGUGUCGGAGAGGCAAGUGGAAUUCCUAGUG
rnacentral:rRNA from 1 species